rnacentral:rRNA from 1 species
CGUACACUCCUGCGGGAGGCAGCAGUGGGGAAUAUUGGACAAUGGGCGCAAGCCUGAUCCAGCCAUGCCGCGUGAGUGAUGAAGGCCCUAGGGUUGUAAAGCUCUUUCACCGGUGAAGAUAAUGACGGUAACCGGAGAAGAAGCCCCGGCUAACUUCGUGCCAGCAGCCGCGGUAAUACGAAGGGGGCUAGCGUUGUUCGGAUUUACUGGGCGUAAAGCGCACGUAGGCGGACUAUUAAGUCAGGGGUGAAAUCCCGGGGCUCAACCCCGGAACUGCCUUUGAUACUGGUAGUCUUGAGUUCGAGAGAGGUGGGUGGAAUUCCGAGUGUAGAGGUGAAAUUCGUAGAUAUUCGGAGGAACACCAGUGGCGAAGGCGGCUCACUGGCUCGAUACUGACGCUGAGGUGCGAAAGCGUGGGGAGCAAACAGGAUUAGAAACCCGUGUAGUCCCAUGA